ensembl:lincRNA
ACUGGAGGCUCCGCCCAGCUUCUCCACGGCAAGCGCUUCAGUCUAGCAGGAAGGUCCCGUGCAGCUACUUUGGCACUCUAGCUGGCGGUUCAUAUUCGGGUGGAACUGGCCGUUUGAACAGUCUUGAGAACUGUAUUCUCAUAUCCGUAGCCUAUCACUUGACUUCUAGGUAUUCAUUUUUUGAGUCUUUGUAUAUUCUAGACAUUAGCCCUGUCCUGUUCAGCUAUCAAGGUACUGCAAGUUCCAAACUCGCCCUCCCAGGGCGACCAGCUCAUAAUGACCUUCCGCCCUCAGUCUUAUCGCUCAGAUUUUGUGGGGUGAGUGAGCAGGCCCCGUAGCACUAACUCCUGGAACCAGAGUAUGUGGAACCACAUGAGAGUGAGCUCGAAAACUGUAAAACAGUUGGUUUUACAUCUAUGAUACAUCUUUUAGUAUGUUUAAGAGCUAAUCCCAUCCAUUUGUAAUUUUGAUAGUAAACUUUGGAUAAGAAUUUUUCCAGAAGAAACACUGACAUUUGCUUUGUGAUUGUGUGAGUGUCCGCUGAGAGAACAGGUAUUCAGGACGAACUCUUUUUUUUUUUUUUUUUUUUAAUCAAACAUUUAAUAUCCUUUAAAAUUCUUCAAGAUAUAUCAACAGCCUAUUUUAUAUAUAAAGAUAAAGGAGGAAAGCAAUGUAUGUAAUUAAUGUGAAAUUAAGACAACUUUCCUGAUUAUACACACACACACACUAUCUCAAAUCAGUAAUAAAGAUGAGUACUGCUUUUUUGCCUGUUAAGGAAAGUCAUUUUACUGAAAAAACAAACAGCUGAAACGAAAUUUUCUCAUGACACAAAUGGACUAAUUAUACAGGUCUCAAAAAUGUUUUAAAAAGUACCCUAAGAAGAAAAUUUUCUCAUUGGACUACACAGAAGCCAUCAUCUGGGGUGGGUGGUGUACAUGGAGGGAUGUGGGGCAGCUGUUAGGGCUGGCAGCCUCUCCUGAAAACAUCUAGACAUUUAAUCUGUCUCCUUUCAUAACUUGCCCAGGACUGUGCCACGCCUGAAGGAAUAUAAACUUCUGUACAGCACUUGUCAAGUCAUGGACUCAGUGUGGGUGUCCAUCAUUGUUUGAAUGGCAAAACAGCACAAACACACAGACCCUAACUCCCCAGGGCACACACCCAACCAUUCUCUCAGUCUGAUUCUAGUAUCCUGUCCCUCAUAUCCAUUCUCUAAGACUGAUCCCUAGUUUAAGUCAACUGAAGUCUGUUUUAUGGUAGUGGUGCCUCUCCUAUCUGGUGAGACUCCUGGUACCUUCUGUGAGUUUUCAGUAGACUCAAAGGUCCUCUCCCUAUGCAUGACAGGAGCCCCCCACCCCAUCCAUCCUCACAUGAAGAUUUGGUUUAUAGGUGUUAUUGGUUGUGUUUCCCAUGAUUUCCAAAUUGUGAAUUGUGCAGCUUCCAAACUGCAAGCCAGAUUUAAUGUGAACUUAAAAGAAGUCAAAAAUAAAUUUGGAAAAAGGGGCUGGGCGUGGAGGUCAGUGGUGUAGUGUUUGUCUAGUGCAUAGCGAAGCCCUGGAUUCUAUUCCUGAAAAUAAAAGGGACAAAGAAGGAACUGGGGAGGAAGAAAUGGAACCAAGUCACCAACCUUGUGGUCUGCAGCAAAAACAAGGUCCACAUGUAGAUUUGUAACACUAGCUGUGUACCCUGGAAAGAAGAAAGAUCUGGUGCCAGUAAUUUAAACUUCCCCCUGAGAAUAUUAGAAAGCAAACAAUAAAGUAAUAGAAAGAAACUGAGGAAAAUCAUUUAAAAACUGGAAACAGAAUUUCAACAGCGAAAAAAUGGGAAUCAAUUUUAGGUACCUAAAAGGACAACACAUCAAAAUGCUGCGAGAGGGAUUACUACUGUUGAUAACAUGACUUUCUAGGAAUAUGCUUAGAAUGCUUCUAAGACUGCUAAUAAUGUGCCAGCACUGGCUGACCCUUACAGUAUUUUAUAUGUAAACAAUAAAAAUACAUGUAUUCCUUC